GAUGAACGCUGGCGGCGUGCCUAAUACAUGCAAGUCGAGCGAACAGACGAGGAGCUUGCUCCUCUGAUGUUAGCGGCGGACGGGUGAGUAACACGUGGAUAACCUACCUAUAAGACUGGGAUAACUUCGGGAAACCGGAGCUAAUACCGGAUAACAUGUUGAACCGCAUGGUUCAACAGUGAAAGACGGUCUUGCUGUCACUUAUAGAUGGAUCCGCGCCGCAUUAGCUAGUUGGUAAGGUAACGGCUUACCAAGGCAACGAUGCGUAGCCGACCUGAGAGGGUGAUCGGCCACACUGGAACUGAGACACGGUCCAGACUCCUACGGGAGGCAGCAGUAGGGAAUCUUCCGCAAUGGGCGAAAGCCUGACGGAGCAACGCCGCGUGAGUGAAGAAGGUCUUCGGAUCGUAAAACUCUGUUAUUAGGGAAGAACAAAUGCGUAAGUAACUAUGCACGUCUUGACGGUACCUAAUCAGAAAGCCACGGCUAACUACGUG
rnacentral:rRNA from 1 species